AUGUGCAUUCCGAAGAACAAAGGGGGACUUGGAUUUAGGGACUUACAUAGUUUCAACCUUGCUAUGUUAGCAAAGUAGUGUUGGCGCCUUAUUCAGAACCCAGAUUCUUUGUGUGCACGUGUAUUGAGUUCGAAAUAUUAUCCGGAUGGGAAUAUUCUAAAGUCUGGGCCAAAGAAAGGUUCUUCAUUCACUUGGCAAAGCAUUAUGGCAGGAAUACAAACUUUGAAACUUGGAUGCAUUUGGCGUGUGGGCACAGGUGAAAAGAAUUGA
rnacentral:rRNA from 1 species